UCUAAGUAACUUGUAUAUUGCAUAAAUGUGAUUUCCAAGUUAAUAAGUUGUUUUUUAUUAAAGUGUUAAGUGUUUAACACAAAAUAAUACAAGUAUUGUUGUUUGCUUUACUUUAAUUAGGUGCUCUUGCUGGGGCAUGGGGGAAAAAAAGAGCUGGAAAAAACACCUGCUAAUGACAUCAGUAGCAUCUACACACUUGCUAAAAACAUCACUCUCCUCUUCACCUGCUAGUGACAUCAGCAUCAUCUACAAACCUGCUAAUAACAUCACUCUCCUCCUCACCUGCUAGUGACAUCAGCAGCAUCUACACACCUGCUAAUAACAUCACUCUCCUUCUCACCUGCUAGUGACACCAUGCUUCUCUUCACCUUCUAGUAGCUUGCCUGGUUUGUGAUAAUAAUUUUGCUAUCUUCUAGUAAGUUUAAGCUUUUGUUACCUUCUCAGCCAGGGUUUUAACCAACAUUAUACACAGAAUCUUUCACAUACUUCUUAGUGUGCUUUUUUUUUGCUGAAUUUAAUGCUUAGGUUUAAGUGGAAAAUUUAAGUCAUAAAAUUUGAAUAAAAAUCUAACUAUACUUAUGAUCUGCAAUAUCGUUUCAGAUUCUGAACACAUCAGAAAACACAAACUGACAUAUCUUUCCAGUUUGGGUUUUGCAUGGUCCCCAAUAAACUCAACGUGGGAUGCCUCUCCGAUUUCUUUCACACCAGGCCACAGAGAGGUUCUUCAUUUGGGUCCACCACUUUGCCAUCUGCACCAAGGUGUGGAGCAUCAGGGUGGAUGAUGAGACCAGAUGGAAGAACGUUAACGUCGAAGGUCUCCUCAUAGCGGUGAAAAACCUCUGGAUCAAGUUUCAAUCCUCUACACAUCGCUCUCUAGAGACCCAGACAGAUGUUUACACACACUUUUUAAUUCAAGAAAUAAAUGCAUUUAACCUGCAAUUACAAAUGCAUAAUGUUUUGAUGUUUUAAUCCCAAAAUGUUGAAUACUGAUAUUUGAAAUGAUAAAAAAAGUGCUUUAAGAUGUGAAAUUAAAAACACUGAUAUCUAGACAAUCAUGAAUUAUAACAUCACUUCUUUUAAUGUUUUUACUAUACAGGUGAUAUGGAAUUUGUUUAAAUUGUGUUAAAUUUUUGUG